UACGUAGGGGGCGAGCGUUGUCCGAAGUUACUGGGCGUAAAGAGUACGUAGGUGACUUGUUAAGAUACAUCUGAAAGGUGACAGCUCAACUGUCAAUGGUGGUGUAAGACUGGCAGGCUUGAGGCAAGCAGAAGAGUGUGGAACUCCGAGUGUAGCGGUGGAAUGCGUAGAGAUCCGGAAGAACACCGGUGGCGAAGGCGGUCUGCUGGGCAGUUGCUGACGCUGAUGCGCGACAGCGUGGGGAGCAAACAGG
rnacentral:rRNA from 1 species